CCUACGGGAGGCAGCAGUGGGGAAUAUUGCACAAUGGGCGCAAGCCUGAUGCAGCGACGCCGCGUGGGGGAUGAAGGCCUUCGGGUUGUAAACCCCUUUCAGCAGGGAAGAAGCGAAAGUGACGGUACCUGCAGAAGAAGCGCCGGCUAACUACGUGCCAGCAGCCGCGGUAAUACGUAGGGCGCAAGCGUUGUCCGGAAUUAUUGGGCGUAAAGAGCUCGUAGGCGGUUUGUCGCGUCUGCUGUGAAAGUCCGAGGCUCAACCUCGGAUCUGCAGUGGGUACGGGCAGACUAGAGUGUGGUAGGGGAGACUGGAAUUCCUGGUGUAGCGGUGGAAUGCGCAGAUAUCAGGAGGAACACCAAUGGCGAAGGCAGGUCUCUGGGCCACAACUGACGCUGAGGAGCGAAAGCAUGGGGAGCGAACAGGAUUAGAUACCCUGGUAGUCCAUGCCGUAAACGGUGGGCACUAGAUGUGGGGCCCUUUCCAUGNGUCGUCGUCGCNGCUACGCAUAGUCGCCCGCCGUCGGGNGGUACGGCCGGCGAGACGUUAAACGUUAAAGUUAGUUAAGUUAGACGGCGUUGAGACGNGCCGACGGACGACGACGAGGGAGAGG
rnacentral:rRNA from 1 species